rnacentral:lncRNA from 1 species
CACUAAUCAAAGAGUGAGAAUCCCAUAUCGUCAUCACUCUCUUCCUUCUCUUCCUUUUUCUCCUCAGCUGGAGGUGCAUCAGCUGCCGGUGCCCCUCCCCCAGAAGGUGCUGCUGCAGCAGCUCCACCACCACCAAAGAAGCCGCCGCCUCCACCGCCACCAACAAUCACCUGCAUCACAUAAAUUCAUACAUCAUAUAUAAUACAAAACCCAAGCCUACACUCUUAGCUUCAAUAACAUGCAAACAUCUUCUGCUGAAACAAAAUCAAGCAGAACAAAACCCUAAUCACAGAAGGUCCAAUACAUGGGUCCAGACCACUCCAGUGGCCCACAGCAUCUUCUGCAUCAUAUUAACGUUCAAUAACAAUACAACAUCGAAUUGGAAUUAAAAUAGCCCAACCACCAAUCAGAUUAUUACAAACUUGUUAAUCAACUACACAGAGUGUGCUUUCCAGGUUAAAAGCAAGAACUAAAAAUAAUACCCACAUGAGAUUUGCAUCACAAAUAUGAUUUUCCUGCUCCAACCCAUUUAAAUCCUCACUCACGAAAACAACAAACAUCCAUUUUAUGAAAUCUGAAUACACCAAGCAAUCCACCAACCCCAAUUGGAUUAAUGGUUGAGUCACCAGAAUAAAGGAUGGAAGCAUAUAUUUACUGAUCUAAACUAUUUUUUGGCACUCUUAUUGACCAUGUUGGUAACAAUUGUCCAAUGCCAUGCAGCUACCAAAUUGAAAGCAGAACAGAAUGAAUAUUGGGAAACAUGACAUCAAAA